CCACAGGGAUAACUGGCUUG
rnacentral:ncRNA from 4 species